UUGUCUUUAAAUAUGGUGUACUGGUUGC
rnacentral:sRNA from 1 species